rnacentral:rRNA from 1 species
AUUGAACGCUGGCGGCAUGCCUUACACAUGCAAGUCGAACGGCAGCAUGGAGAGCUUGCUCUCUGAUGGCGAGUGGCGAACGGGUGAGUAAUGCAUCGGAACGUACCGUGUAAUGGGGGAUAACGUAGCGAAAGUUACGCUAAUACCGCAUACGACCUGAGGGUGAAAGCAGGGGAUCGCAAGACCUUGCGUUAUACGAGCGGCCGAUGUCAGAUUAGCUAGUUGGUGAGGUAAAGGACCACCAAGGCGACGAUCUGUAGCGGGUCUGAGAGGAUGAUCCGCCACACUGGGACUGAGACACGGCCCAGACUCCUACGGGAGGCAGCAGUGGGGAAUUUUGGACAAUGGGGGCAACCCUGAUCCAGCCAUGCCGCGUGAGUGAAGAAGGCCUUCGGGUUGUAAAGCUCUUUCGGCCGGGAAGAAAUCGCACAGGCUAAUACUCUGUGUGGAUGACGGUACCGGCAUAAGAAGCACCGGCUAACUACGUGCCAGCAGCCGCCGUAA